GCAGGACGAUGACCUAUGAAUUGACAGCCAGCGUAUGUGGAGGACCUGCCUGUCAGUUCUGUAGGCCAAUGUCCUGU
rnacentral:pre_miRNA from 1 species